rnacentral:lncRNA from 1 species
UUCAUGUCUAUGGACUUAAGACUAAUUAACUUCAAGUUUUUAACUUAAUUUUUUCUGUGUUCAUUAACUUGAUCUAUUUUAAUAUGAUUAGAGGGCGGAUUUGUAUGAUUUUACAUAUUUAUCGUGGUUGAUUGUAUGAUAUUAUGCUAAUAGUGACCGCAUAAUUUGUUUCAAGACAUUAACGAUUUAAACUGUGAAUCUUUUAGGAUGCACAAUACGAAAAUUAACCAACUUUUUCCAUUUUAUUGACUUAUUUAAGAUUUUAAUUGCAUAUUUCUGCGUUUUUUUUUAGACAUUUUUGAAUUGACUAAUAUUGACAUUCUUCUAUAUGAGAUAAAGAAAUCUAAUAUGCUUCAUGUCAUUGUGAUUCCAAAUAAAAGAAAUUUUUUACUGUUUUGUUGCAAUUAUUCCAGUAGUGGCAUUUUAAUCUUUUAUAUGUUUAUUGCACCUUAAUAGUAAAAUAAAUGUAUAUUAUUUAAUAAGAACUAAAAAAACACGAUUCCUGCUAUAGUAGUGCAUGCAGAUGACAGUAGUUACGGCUCUGAAGUUUUUUAUUUGGGCCAAGGGUCGAACCGCUGCAAUCGUAUAUAUAUAUUUUGUAUGAAUUUCUAACUAAAAAAUAGUUUUCAAAUUUUCGUGAUUUUUACGAAUUUUGUCAAAAUUCUGACUUCAGACGCUCAUAAAAAACUAUUGAGGAUUUACGGCGAACUUUUUUUUUAUUUCCACCAAAGACAAGGUACGAGGAACGUUGUAUAGGCGUAUUACAUUCUCGAGUUAUUGGACAGAGCGAAAUUGUUUUCAUCGACAUAAAUUAUGAAAAAACUAAAAUAUUCGAACAUUUCAUAUGUAUAUGAAUACCUCGACACGAAUCUAAAAAUUUUGAAAACGUUACGGUUUUAAAUUCUAAUAUAAACAACCAGUUCAAAUUGCAUGUAUCUUUAGACAUUUAAUUUAGAGUAACACCACUUACACGAAAAAUCAAAACCGAUAUUAGGUAGGUAGGUACGUAAAAACUCACGUUUUCCUAAAUUUUUUUUUUGUUUUUCCAGGCGCUUUUGGCGACUAGGCUGGUACUGUUCAUUUCGACAUGCCCUAUGCACCUACUAGAUUCACUUUCCCACAGGAAAAGAUGAAAAGCGAAGCAUUAUUUCGACUACCUACUUAUCGUGUAGGUAGGUACACCGCCCCAAAUAAUAAAAAUGUAUUGCGCAGAACGUACAUUCGCUAAUAGUUUCAAUAUAGUUCGAUUCACUCUAAUUUUUAAACUAACGGUGCUAAAUGUGACCCGCUCAUCGUACAUUUUCUAUAUAAGACGUAGACAAUAAAAUGCCCGUGUUACGUCUUAAAUCGUGGAGCUGCGUCGUUCGCGAAGUUUCAAACAUUUAAUGCCCGCGAUUCUGUCUUAUCACCACGUACCACGAAAUAGUAAAAGUCGUUAUCAAAUAAAUAACAACAAAACAUUAUUAUUUUUUCAUAUGCCGACUUUAAAUUUGACUCGCUCGCGAAUCGCGAUUAUUUGAAAUUUGAACAAAAAAUACAGACAACAGAACAGUCGUACAGAUUUCUAUUCAUACAUUUUAAUAUAAAAUCGCCAUGGAUAAGUGUAUUCCUUUCAGUAAAACAUCCAAAGUAUCGUCUCGCCACAUUACGUACAUUUUCAUUUAUUUCCGAAAAAUCAAUGAAAUAGAAAGAAACGAUGGCUAAAAAUGUUCGAAUUAAAUGAUUGUCGCAAUAAUUUCUACGUGGCAUAGUAUCUGCGGCAGGUAAUCAUUUCACAAUAAUUAGUGAUGGUAAACAAUGCUCAGUAAAUUAGUAAACACGGUGUCACAGACUGUCUCAAAACAUAAUCCAAACCACUUGUCUGGGAUAGAGAAGUAAAAUAAAUGUUAGUGAUUCACGGCAAUAUUGGUACUGCUCUGCGCACGACUAGUAAAUCGCAUCUAAGAGAAAAUUUCCAACGAUGAGCUAGUAGUAAAUGAACAGACGAAUAAAGGAUUUAGAGGCCAUGAUUUUAAUUCACCCAGAAAAGCCUUGGAUACCCAAUAAUGUCUAAUUCACACACACUUAUUUCACACAGGGGAUUAUACUCAUAAUGUUUUUCAAAACUGAAAUAUAUUACGAUAUGUACCACAUACAAGGAACUGGGAAGUGGAGCCAAUGCACUGACAGAUUUUCAGACGUUGACUUUCUUGGAGAUAAUUCUACCGACUCAGAUGAAGCCAUACAAUAUUUGAGAGAAUUAUGAAACUUAAAGGUAAUACAAUUUUGCUGACGAAGAAUCCAAUUUUAACAACGCAGAGGGCCUCAACAUAUUUAAAUUGCAAAGAAACACAUAACUAAUUUGGACAUUGGUAUCUUUUCUGAUGCAAAAGUGCAUCUAGUUGGAUGCGUUAAACAGGUCGUCAAGCCCGUUCCCAUUGACAACGAGGAUGGACAAACUUGUUUGAAAAAAGAGCAUGCAAUUACCAAAAAGCUUCAGUGGCUGUUAUUAAAAUUCUUCAACUGUCGACAAUGGACAUGAUUUAUGAAGACUUUUAAACUAGGUAUAUUCUGAUAGGUACCUAUUAUUUCCUUUAAUUUGUGUACAUAUUUUACCUAUGUUUCCCCCCACCACCCAUCAGAAAGUAAUUAGUUAGUUUAUUUAACAAAAGAAAACUGUACCAACUCACUGUGUUUGUGAAUAAAAUUAUUUUGUCAAUGACUAAUUUAAGAAAACUUUAUUUUUAAAUUUUAUAAUGA